rnacentral:rRNA from 1 species
CCUANGGGAGGCUGCAGUCGAGGAUCAUUCGCAAUGCGCGAAAGCGUGACGAUGCGACGCUGCGUGGAGGAUGAAGGCCUUCGGGUCGUAAACUCCUGUCAUUCGGGAGCAAUGUCGCCUGGGUUAACAAUCCUGGCGAAAAGAUAGUACCGGAAGAGGAAGUCACGGCUAACUCUGUGCCAGCAGCCGCGGUAAUACAGAGGUGGCAAGCGUUGUUCGGAUUUACUGGGCGUAAAGGGUGCGUAGGCUGUUCUGUGUGUCGGGCGUGAAAUCUCGCUGCUCAACGGCGAAACUGCGUCCGAAACUGCAGAAGUAGAGUGCAGGAGAGGAAAGCGGAAUUCUUGGUGUAGCGGUGGAAUGCGUUGAUAUCAAGAGGAACACCGGUGGCGAAGGCGGCUUUCUGGAAUGCAACUGACGCUGAGGCACGAAAGUUGGGGGAGCAAACAGGAUUAGAUACCCGUNUANUC